ACCCCACACGUUCAGGGAGGAGGGAGAGAGAGAAGGAAGGAAGGGGCAGCAGGUUUUGGUACUUGUAUUCCUAUUGCCUGGGCGUGCAAUCCUCUGGUUCAGCGGUGUGUCAUCCCUGUAGCGGUUGAAACCCUUCAGCAUCAGUGCGACGUUGGCAUCGUGUGAUGCUGAGUGAGGAGACGCUGUCUAGACGCUGGUUCAUGGGGAGAGAGGCAUCGCGUGGACUAGACUCAGCUGCCAAGCACACAGAGGAAAGGCUAGGACCAGGACCAAGCCAGAUAUUCAACUGAAGCCAGAACCAAAUCGACAAGAUUUUGACCACAGUAAUGGACCAAACAGAGGCAAAAGCGCAGUCAUCUCCACAAAAACAGUCUGCCAAGAACAGAUCCAAAUCCACAGAAGAGGAAAAUCGAUCAAAGAAGAGCUUCCACACACCCCAGAAGUCUCUUCCUGUGCAGCCUGACACUGAGAAUCCCAAGAUGGAUCCAGCACCGCCUACUUCUUAGAACACUUCUCAUCUUAUACUCAUUUGUAAUGUCGUGUUCUUUGUCAAUCAUGGCACCGUAAGCCAUAUUUAAUAACAAUAAUGCUCAAUAAUGCUCAAUAAUGCUCAAUAAUGCUCAAUAAUGCUCAAUAAUGCUCAAUAAUGCUCAAUAAUGCUCUAAAUGAACUUGAGGUGUUAAUGGGAUGUAUCAGUGCAAGGUUUCCGUAGUGGUCUUUAUCAAGUGUUUAGACUUCCUCAUCCUCCCAGUAUAAUGCAUUAUAUACAUUCUUACUCAACUCUUGUGCAGAUUCUGUAUGAUUUCUAUUUUUUUUUUUUUACCAUGCAGUCAUUGUUUAGUGGGGUUUAAUGAUUGAGAAUGAUUCCCAUGGAGUUGCACAGAUGCCCUUCGAUCUUCAGGCAGAGAGGAGAGAGCCAGAGGCUCUGGGAUGCUAACUGAGGGAGGAGGACUGGGCUGGCAGCUGGUGCUGUCCAAGUAAGGCGCUCAAAGACUACAUUGUCUUUGCCGUUUCUGAAUUGGUUUUGUUUUUGGUUGAUGUACUUUGGUAUGUAUGUGUAAUCAUUUCCUGUCGCUAUUUAGCACUUCUUCUUACUUAUGAGAUUGAAUGUGAAAGAUUAACCACAAAAGAGGUGUUCGCAAUUCUCCUCCAUUACAUGGAAAACAAUCUGUUGUAACAUUUUGUCAUUUCAUCUUUUAUGUACUACAAAACAAUCUAAAAACAAAGCUAAUGUGGA